UCACUGGGUGUUUAACAGAUGU
rnacentral:miRNA from 1 species